rnacentral:rRNA from 1 species
UGGGGAAUAUUGCACAAUGGGCGCAAGCCUGAUGCAGCCAUGCCGCGUGUGUGAAGAAGGCCUUCGGGUUGUAAAGCACUUUCAGCGAGGAGGAAGGUGGUGAGCUUAAUACGUUCAUCAAUUGACGUUACUCGCAGAAGAAGCACCGGCUAACUCCGUGCCAGCAGCCGCGGUAAUACGGAGGGUGCAAGCGUUAAUCGGAAUUACUGGGCGUAAAGCGCACGCAGGCGGUUUGUUAAGUCAGAUGUGAAAUCCCCGGGCUCAACCUGGGAACUGCAUUUGAAACUGGCAAGCUAGAGUCUCGUAGAGGGGGGUAGAAUUCCAGGUGUAGCGGUGAAAUGCGUAGAGAUCUGGAGGAAUACCGGUGGCGAAGGCGGCCCCCCUGGACGAAGACUGACGCUCAGGUGCGAAAGCGUGGGGCAGCAAACAGGAUUAGAUACCCUGGUAGUCCAGCGCUGUAAACGAUGUCGAUUUGGAGGUUGUGCCCUUGAGGCGUGGCUUCCGGAGCUAACGCGUUAAAUCGACCGCCUGGGGAGUACGGCCGCAAGGUUAAAACUCAAAGGAAUUGAC